UACGUAGGGGGCGAGCGUUGUCCGGAUUUAUUGGGCGUAAAGAGCUCGUAGGCGGUUCGAUAAGUCGGACGUGAAAUCUCCACGCUCAACGUGGAGGGGCCGUUCGAUACUGUCGUGACUCGAGUCCGGUAGGGGAGUGUGGAAUUCCCGGUGUAGCGGUGAAAUGCGCAGAUAUCAGGAGGAACACCGAUGGCGAAGGCAGGUCUCUGGGCCAUAACUGACGCUGAGAAGCGAAAGCAUGGGGAGCGAACAGG
rnacentral:rRNA from 1 species